AGACCCGAAACCCGGUGAUCUAGCCAUGGGCAGGUUGAAGGUUGGGUAACACUAACUGGAGGACCGAACCGACUAAUGUUGAAAAAUUAGCGGAUGACCUGUGGCUGGGGGUGAAAGGCCAAUCAAACCGGGAGAUAGCUGGUUCUCCCCGAAAGCUAUUUAGGUAGCGCCUCGUGAAUUCAUCUCCGGGGGUAGAGCACUGUUUCGGCUAGGGGGCCAUCCCGGCUUACCAACCCGAUGCAAACUGCGAAUACCGGAGAAUGUUAUCACGGGAGACACACGGCGGGUGCUAACGUCCGUCGUGAAGAGGGAAACAACCCAGACCGCCAGCUAAGGUCCCAAAGUCAUGGUUAAGUGGGAAACGAUGUGGGAAGGCCCAGACAGCCAGGAUGUUGGCUUAGAAGCAGCCAUCAUUUAAAGAAAGCGUAAUAGCUCACUGGUCGAGUCGGCCUGCGCGGAAGAUGUAACGGGGCUAAACCAUGCACCGAAGCUGCGGCAGCGAACGUAUCACUUAAAGCGAUUCAGCGGGUUACGAUUGACGGAGCGAAGCGACGUCAAAGCGUAUACAAAGUCGAGUCGGUUUAAGGAUACGUUCGUUGGGUAGGGGAGCGUUCUGUAAGCCUGUGAAGGUGUGUCGUGAGGCAUGCUGGAGGUAUCAGAAGUGCGAAUGCUGACAUAAGUAACGAUAAAGCGGGUGAAAAGCCCGCUCGCCGGAAGACCAAGGGUUCCUGUCCAACGUUAAUCGGGGCAGGGUGAGUCGACCCCUAAGGCGAGGCCGAAAGGCGUAGUCGAUGGGAAACGGGUUAAUAUUCCCGUACUUGGUGUUACUGCGAAGGGGGGACGGAGAAGGCUAUGUUGGCCGGGCGACGGUUGUCCCGGUUUAAGCGUGUAGGUGUGUGUUCCAGGUAAAUCCGGUUCACUUUAACAC
rnacentral:rRNA from 1 species